GAGACCGCCAUGAUGACUUGCAAGCAACUCACUGCACUUAGGCACUGGACUACCUAAAUUUUUAAUUCAGUGACGGAAGGCUGCUGGGUGUAGUCAAGUACUUGACUUGUCGGUGCGUGUGUCAAGAUGGGAUUGACCACUCCAGUUUAGGAGUUGUGUAAAGUCGUGUUUCAAUUUAGUAAAAUCUUGGCCAGGGUAGUCCUUGUGAGGAGUCACAAGACUGUUUGAGUUGAGCACGAUUCAGAUGAUCUGAUCAGGGUUGACAGUUUAACCCUGAGUCAUCCUAAACACAGGGGUCAAAAGGAUGAAUUAUACAGUAACCAUAUUCAUGUAGGUU
rnacentral:lncRNA from 1 species